rnacentral:lncRNA from 1 species
AAAAAUGUCUGGGCCCUUCUCUCGGAGGUGUUGGCAAGCAGGAAAGAUAUUCAAGCAUUGAUAGACUUGCAGCGAGACAUUGUUUUUGUCGAGAUUGCACAGAAUGGGAAACUGAAAGGAUUAGCAUCCGGUUUCCAGUCCAGUGAGUACAAGCAUGCACAUUGUCACUCCCAUUGUCACAAGAAAAAAGCUGAACAAACAAGAUCAACAACUCUUCUUGGGUCCUUCAGAGAAUUGAAGUUACAGGGCAAAUGGCCACACUGCAAACUGGAGAGACUGGCAGAUACCAAGAAUCACAGCUAGCCUUGAGCAGAAGCUGCAGCUGGAGCCAGAAAUGGGAAGAAAUGUAACCAUAACAGUCUUGUUCUCGGAUGCAUGGCCGGUCAAUAUGCCAGACACUGGGUUGCAGCAGAGGAAUGGGUUUCAUUGUAAGGAAACUGAAUGAGGAGCCUUUUAUGAACAUCACUGAAAAGGCUGGGCAAGACGAAACCUGUGAAGAAGGAAGAUCUCCAUGGCUGCCCUUAGCGUGGAAUGUGUUCUUCACACCCUUACAAACAGCUUUCAAGUGUUCAGCCUGUGGAGUUGAAGCAGAAGAUCGGAAACCAGAGAAAAGUAUGCAGAAGAAAAUAAAAUUCAUCAAUAAUUGUACCAACCAGAGGUAACAAUUUUGGUUAUCUGUGGUCUGUUUGCUUUGAUUAUAAAAGUCCUAUCUGUUGUUUUCCAUCAAUCAUCUAUCUACAUAAACAAAAUUGGGAUCAUACAUUUAGCCAUAGGCCGCCAAUAUCAUUCCCUGCUGAUAUGUAAAAAUUUUAAAAACCAUGUGUGCAAUUUUCCAUCAGAUGGGUGCACCACUAAGCAUUCUGUAUGCCUUGUCCAAUCUUAAAGGGACUAGGGUCACCUUGGAACUUUGCACUGUCUGAUGUCAAACUUCAUUAUGCUCCAGGUCAGGCAUCAUAAAAUUAAUAAAUUCAAAGUUUGGGAAAACAGGGAAAAACAAUGCCCUAAUCCAUUUUCAUUUUUAUUUCCCACUGGCCUUUGUCCAAAUGCAUAAAUAUUCUAACAUGAUUACAAUCAUAAUGUACAUUUGCAUCUUAUUAUAUUGUAAACAUUUUAAAGCUGAUUAAUGAUUUUCUUUUUUUUUUUCCGAGAUGGAGUCUUGCUCUGUCACCCAGGCUGGAGUGCAAUGGUGCAAUCUCGGCUCACUGCAACUUCUGCUUCCCGGGUUCAAGUGAUUCUUGUGCCUCAGCCUGCCAAGUAGCUGGGAUUACAGGUGCGCGCCACCAUGCCAGGCUAAUUUUUGUAUUUUCAGUAGAGAUGGGGUUUCACCACAUUGCCCACACUGGUCUGAACUCCUGACCUCAGGUAAUCCACCUGCCUCAGCCUCCCAAAGUGCUGGGAUUACAGGCGUGAGCCACUGUGCCUGGCCUUGAGUUUCAUAAUUUUUAAUGACUGGGUAAUAGUCCUCUCAGUAGACAUAAUUAUUUAAUUUGUCAUUAUCCUAUUGUUACUUUUUUUGAAAUUAUGAAUAAUUCUGCGAUGACUGUCUUCAUCAUGAUAGCUUUAUCCUUCAUUUGGACUACUUCCUUAGAUAAAGUCUCAGCAGGGGGUAAUAGGGUCUGCUUAAACUGUAGCAGUAAUGUAAAUAUCAAUUGCUUGCCUUAGUUUCUGGGAGUGGAUUUACAUUCAGUCUGUUAUUGAGUACCUUUAAAAAAAACUUUUUUUUUUUUUUUUCAGAGGCAGGGUCUAUCUGUGUCACUCAGGCUGGAAUGCAGUGGUGUGCCCGUAGCUCACUGCUGCCUCAAACUCCUGGGCUCGUGCAAUCCUCCCGCCUCAGCCUCCUGAGUAGCUGGGGCUACAGGUGCAUGCCACCUCACCUGGCUAAUUAUUUUAUUCUAUUUUUGUAGAGAUGGGGUCUUGCUUUGUUGCCCAGGCUGGUCUUGAACUCCUGGCUUCAAGGGAUCCUCUGGUUUCAGCCUCCCAAAGUGCUGGAAUUACAGGCAUAAGGCACCAUGCCCAGCCUGUUAUUGAGUAUUUUUUAAAUUGAACUUCACUCUUAUUAAUAGAAAACAUGUUGACUUUGAUAGUAGCAUAAUUUGGACAAGAAUUAAGCAGAUUUUAAAUGAGACACUGCUUGAUUUGUGUAGAGGUAUUUUUGAGUAAAUGCUUCUUUUUUCCCUGUAAUUCAUCCACACGCAACUAGAAACUUGAGAGGAUGAAGAAGCAUUCAUGGAAAACUAACAAUGUUAGUUUUUAAGGCACGCAAUUGAUAUUUACAUUACUGCUAGAGUUUAGGCAGACCCUAUUACCCCCUGCUAAGAGUUUAUCUAAGGAAAUAGUCCAAAUGAAAGAUAAAGCUAUCAUCCUAAAGAUGUUCAUUGCAAAAAAACAAUUAACUAUGAUGAUUAGCAUCGUACCUGGCAGAGCCUCUUCACAUUUGUGGAUUUCAGUGGCUAUGUGAGUUUUGAAAGACCAGUAUCUUUUUUUUUUUUGGAGAUGGAGUCGCACUCUGUCGCCCAGGCUGGAGUGCAGUGGCACUAUCUUGGCUCAUUGCAACCUCUGCCUCCCAGGUUCAAGUGAUUCUCCUGCUUCAGCCUGCCAAGUAGCUGAGACUACAGGUGUGCACUGCCACACCCGGCUAAUUUUUGUAUUUUUAGUAGAGACGGGUGUUCACCAUGUUGGCCAGGCUGGUCUCAAAAUACUGACCUCAGGUGAUCCACCCACCUUGGCCUCCCAAAUUGCUGGGAUUACAGGCAUGAGCCACCACGCCUGGCCAAGACCAGUAUCUGUUUUAUGUGUGUCUUUGAUAUGUGUGGAAAUGAGGAAAUUCAAGAAGUAAAUGGCAGGACCAUGAAAAUUCUUCCUUAGUUUCUACUUAAACAAAUUUAGAUUCAGCACAGUAUUUAGUAAACGGUGCAUGAUGGCAGGAGUCUAAAAGCUAACCUACAUUAGCUCAGAAGGUGUGGUCCACAGAAUGGACCUGGAAUGCCUUGGGCUACUGCCCUCAGUUGCAUUCUGUCCUACGAAAGAGCUCAUGGCUCAAGCUUUCCAAAUUAAUAAAUACAGAGUUUCUAAAAAUAUAAAAUAAAUAAGAGCAAAUUGCAACAGUAAAACCUUAAUAUCAACAAUCUGCUGUGGAGACUGAAGAAAUAUAUUCUCCAUCACUGACAUAUACCUCAUUUCUAUUAGCAGACAGUGAGUGAACGCUCAUUGUGAUUGUCAUUACAUUGCAGACUUUUACUACCCACUGUGGAUACUUUUGAAAAAUAUAUCUUGAUUGACUGAUAUUUCUUUCUCUCAUUUACCUCCUCUCCAUACCUAAAGAAGCUAUCCAGGGAAGAAAGAAAACUGGAUGUGUAAUUCUAUUUAAUUUGUUUUAUAUUUAUUCCUCAAAUCACUCGUUUCUUUGAAAUAAAA